rnacentral:rRNA from 1 species
AUUGAACGCUGGCGGCAGGCCUAACACAUGCAAGUCGAGCGAGCGGCGGACGGGUGAGUAAUGUAUGGGGACUGCCCGAUAGAGGGGGAUAACUACUGGAAACGGUGGCUAAUACCGCAUAUUAUCGGAUAACCCAUAUGGGAUUAGUUAGUAGGUGGGGUAAAGGCUCACCUAGGCGACGAUCUCUAGCUGGUCGGAGAGGAUGAGCAGCCACACUAGGACUGAAACGCGGCCCAGACUCCUACGGAGGCGUCAGUGGGGAAUAUUUCACAAUGGGCGCAAGCCUGAUGCAGCCAUGCCGCGUGUAUGAAGAAAGCCUUAGGGUUGUAACGUACUUUCAGCGGGGAGUCGUUACCCGCAGAAGAAGCACCGGCUAACUCCGUGCCAGCAGCCGCGGUAAUAC